rnacentral:rRNA from 1 species
UACGGAGGAUCCAAGCGUUAUCCGGAAUCAUUGGGUUUAAAGGGUCCGUAGGCGGUUUAAUAAGUCAGUGGUGAAAGCCCAUCGCUCAACGGUGGAACGGCCAAUGAUACUGUUAAACUUGAAUUAUUAGGAAGUAACUAGAAUAUGUAGUGUAGCGGUGAAAUGCUUAGAGAUUACAUGGAAUACCAAUUGCGAAGGCAGGUUACUACUAAUGGAUUGACGCUGAUGGACGAAAGCGUGGGUAGCGAACAGGAUUAGAAACCCUAGUAGUCC